AUUAAGGUGACAGAAUCUGGUAAUUGUGUAAAACUUAAUCCUUUAUAACCAGAGGUUCAAAUCCUUUCCCUAACA
rnacentral:tRNA from 1 species